rnacentral:rRNA from 1 species
GUGUCAGCAGCCGCGGUAAUACAGAGGGUGCAAGCGUUGUUCGGAAUUACUGGGCGUAAAGCGCGUGUAGGCGGUUUGAUAAGUCCUGUGUGAAAGCCCUGGGCUCAACCCAGGAAGUGCGCAGGAUACUGUCUGACUGGAGUGACGGAGAGGAUGGCGGAAUUCCCGGUGUAGAGGUGAAAUUCGUAGAUAUCGGGAGGAACACCUGUGGCGAAGGCGGCCAUCUGGACGUCAACUGACGCUGAGACGCGAAAGCAUGGGGAGCAAACAGGAUUAGAUACCCGUGUAGUCC